UACGAAGGGUGCAAGCGUUAAUCGGAAUUACUGGGCGUAAAGGGUGCGUAGGCGGUUGUUUAAGUCUGUCGUGAAAUCCCCGGCUCAACCUGGGAAUGGCAAUGGAUACUGGCAAGCUAGAGUCAGGUAGAGGGUGGUGGAAUUCCGGUGUAGCGGUGAAAUGCGUAGAGAUCGGGAGGAACACCAGUGGCGAAGGCGGCUACCUGGACCAGCACUGACACUGAGGCACGAAAGCGUGGGAGCAACAGGAGUUAGAA
rnacentral:rRNA from 1 species